AUAAAAAGAAAAAUAUAAAGUUAUUGUAUUUUUAGAUUAUAAUUGUUAUAUAAAUAAAUUAUAUGUAUGUUAAGUUAUCUUUAAUAUCUUUAUUCGUUAUACAGAUUUCCUGUUGCUGUUAUAUACCUACCACGAAAAGAUAUUCGAGAAUACAUGUAUGCAGAUGAAACAAGAGAAACUGUUCGCAAUUUUGUAUCUGGAUAACGAUGAUAUUAUUUAACAAACAAGCCGGAUGGAAGAUUUAUCAGUGUACUGUUACCAUUAAUCUUUGCAACGACUUUAGCACACCAGCAUGAAAUUAUUUCUCGGUGAUCAGAAGGAGAAAAGAGAAAGAAAAUAAAAGGAAGAGGAAGAGGAAAAGAGAAGUAAUUGUUCAAAGUCCACUAUAGGUCCAGUAAUUCCGAAGGCGAACCAUCAUGUCGGCGUCUCGAUUGGUACGGACAUACGAGCACGCACGUAUUCGCGGUACAAGACUGAAAGGACACGUCUCGAAUAUUUUACCCCGGGAGUUUUUCCUCUUUAAUUGAUUCAAUCGGCGAAAAACACGGCAGGACCGCUUCACCCUCCGGGAAUUUUCACCCGCCGCCGCCUCACACCACUUCCGCGUCAUCCACGCUUUCAGCAACCAACCGCUGUAACGAGACGCUAGAACUAACCUUCCUUUUCGAUGAAAACGCCAACUCCUCUUCGCGGUUAGUCCCUUCCCUAUUCCCUCAUUCUCUACACCUACUUUUCUACCCUGUCUCUUUGUCUCCCUCUCCCCUUUCCUUCAUCCUUAUUUUCUCUUUAUUAUUAUUUUCAAUUUCUCUGGAUCUAAAUCUCUUUAUUAUAUAUUUGUCUAAUCAUUCUUUGCAAUUUUCCAAUUUUAUUAUCCCUUUACCUUUGCUUUUAUCUUUCUUUUUCUAUUUAUAAAAGAUCAAUUUAAUUAAUUCAUGUUUUUUUUUGUUUUUAUUCUCAUAUGAAUAAGUACGUUUUUUUUUAAUUUAUCUAUUAUUUAUUCUUUUUUUAACAUCGUUAUAUUUUAUCAAUUUUUUAUCAAUUUGAGAUUAGAAUAUCCAUGUCCCUUACAUCGAGGCAAUUUCGUGAUGUAAUAUAGAAACAUUUAUAUAUAUACAGAGGCGGAGACGAAAGCAGCAUUCCUGUGGAUCCAUUUAUCUGUAGGAAAUCGCGUUUGUGAGAAUACACUGGAAACAGAACUUUCCAUAAAUGAUGGAAACUCGGGAAUUUUCCGUUUAUUAUUUUAAUUAGAGCCUUCGGGCCAUACUUAACGAGAAUCUGGCUGUCUGCGUUUAUAUUGUGUUACAUCUACAAAAUGACAAUGGAAUGUGAUAUUAUCGGUUUCUACUUACAUGACGCCCUGUAAUUUGCGCUCCAAUCGAGAUAUAGAAAAUUUUCACAAUAGAUAUGUAUAUUUCUUAUCUUGCUUGUACUUUGUAAUUUUUAUUAUAAAAAAACGAAUACAAAAAAUAUCUAU